AGUAAAAUGACUGAAGUGUAGGUGAUAAAUUGUAAAUUUAUUUAUGGAUAGUAUCCUUUUACUG
rnacentral:tRNA from 1 species